AUUUUUAAAUUGCAUUGUAAAAUCGAGUUUGUAAGAUUGAAAUUUGGUUUAAGGAAAUACUAAAUUAAUGUGAGUUACUAUUUAAACUUCAAAUAUCAUCAAUAAGAUAGAGUGUAUAGAGAGCAGAUAGUUAAGAUUACUCAUGUGUAUAGAAAAACUAAUCACAUAGUGAAUGGAUUAGCAAACUAUGCAGUUUAGUUACCGCUUAGUUUGCAUUUAUUUGAUGUUUGUGUGAUAGUUGUAAGUCUCACAUUGUUAGAGGAUACACAUGAGAUGUUGUUUUUACAAAGUGUUCGACUGUACUUUUAUGUUAUGAAUAAAUCAUAGAAUGCUUUUUGUUCCAUACACAUUAUAAAAAAGAAAGAUGGAGUGUAUAGAAUAACAAGAUAGUUUAUUAUGAUA
rnacentral:sRNA from 1 species